AGUCAGCCCUGGAGGAAUGGUUCCAAGCGUGUGGACAGCACCACUCAGUUUCCCUACUAUACCUGUGGAAGGAAAUGAUAGUUGCUGUAUUUCUAAAUAGGUUGACUAUUAACAUUGCUGCAUUCUCCUUCCCAAGAAACACCAUGGCCUGAUACACUCACUGCGGCCCCAUGUGGGGCAAAAUUGCUGCCAUCCAUAUCUUGCCACCCAUAUCUUUGCUUCCUGUGGCUGAGUUUCAAAGCAUCAUGAACCUGAAAUAAGAGGUCACAAGUUCACUGCUCGGCUUAAGCUGAAUGGCAGCUAAUCCAUUCCAAAUAGAUGAAAAUCUCUUCUACUCUGAAAGUAAGCUAGAAAAGAUAUCCCACAAUAUCGAAUUCAUUAAAGCUCUCUGUGAAAGAAGGAUAAUGGGUGAUCCUUUUGUUUUGGUUCCACUUGCUUAUUUCAAACUACCCACAUGUUGUGUUUUCUGUUCACAAUAGUUAACAAUGGCUAACAUUUAUUGAGCACUGUUCUAAGUGCUCUUCACAUAUAAAAGAUGUAAAAAUGAGGCUCCUUCUUUCCCAGAGGGUAGAAGCUGCAGCAGUCCCCGGGCUGGAGCUGCUGAAUGUCUGGAGACGUCCCCACUGCUGGGGAGCGGAAGCCAAUCCUGUGUCUCCGCUGGAGCCUCAGAUGCUUCUCGGGCCCCCUGUUGUAUACAGUCACUGGUACCGCUGCCGCUGGAGCCAGAAGUAGGAUGGCUUCUCCCUGUCUCGCACCUGCUCAUCUUCCCCUGGAGUUAGGGAACAUAGGCAAUGACACAAAGGAAGGCAGAGAAGGGUGGGAGUUUGGCAGAGAACCAGCAGACACUGUGGCUUGGAGGCAAAUGGAGAUUUGUUGAUAACUAGAGUUAGGGGCAGUCAGGACUAGAAGCCAGGCGUGAAGUUCAGGAGGCCCCACCCUGUAUGGGCAAAGUUAAUCCUCUCCUGCAUAUGAGGUCUUCCCCCUCUCAACUUGGUGGUACUUUCAAUGCUCUCAAGCUCCUUAUUUGAUCCUCAAAG
rnacentral:lncRNA from 10 species